rnacentral:rRNA from 1 species
GUCUACGGCCAUACCACCCUGAACGCGCCCGAUCUCGUCUGAUCUCGGAAGCUAAGCAGGGUCGGGCCUGGUUAGUACUUGGUUAGUACUUGGAUGGGAGAAAUGAUGAAUGGUCA